GGUGUAGCUCAGUGGUAGAGUGCAUGCAUAGCAUGCAUGAGGCUCGAGGUUCAAUCCCAAGCACC
rnacentral:tRNA from 1 species